CAAAAAGGAAAAACUUAUUUUUAUUUUGUCAUUUUGUAAUUUAAAAAAUUACACUUAAUAUUUUGUGAUUUAUCUUAUUUUUUAUUAUGUCACCCAGUUAUUCAAAAAGCUAUACUUAACUACUGCAUAGUUAUAAAAAAAUUUUCACUUUGCAAUCCUAUUUGGUAGUAGAUUUUUUUAGUUAAAAAUAGAGAUUAAAUUACAUAAUAAUUGUGUGCACCUUUUUUAA
rnacentral:lncRNA from 1 species